UACGGAGGAUGCAAGCGUUAUCCGGAUUUAUUGGGUUUAAAGGGUGCGCAGGUUGUUUGAUAAGUCAGUGGUGAAAGUCUGUCGCUUAACGGUAGGAUUGCCAUUGAUACUGUUGGACUUGAAUAUGGAUGAGGUAGGCGGAAUGUGUAGUGUAGCGGUGAAAUGCGUAGAUAUCGGGAGGAACACCAGUGGCGAAGGCGGCUUCCUGGCACAAUACUGACGCUCAUGUGCGAAAGCUAGGGCAGCGAACGGGAUUA
rnacentral:rRNA from 1 species